GGUGCUGUCAGUGUCAUCUACAACAUCUCUCCCCAUUCAUUGUCUAUGGAGCAGCUCCACACUUUACGUAUACCCGAUGACAUUACAAGUUUGAGGUUUAGCAUUCUAGUUUUUGGAUUUGGGAGAGAGUUGUUCAUGUUUGCUAAUAUUUUUGGGCUGUCUUAGACCAUAGGAAAAACAUGUAUGAGUUUUGA